rnacentral:rRNA from 1 species
UACGGGGGGGGCAAGCGUUGUUCGGAAUUACUGGGCGUAAAGGGCUUGUAGGUGGCCAACUAAGUCAGACGUGAAAUCCCUCGGCUUAACCGGGGAACUGCGUCUGAUACUGGAUGGCUUGAGUUUGGGAGAGGGAUGCGGAAUUCCAGGUGUAGCGGUGAAAUGCGUAGAUAUCUGGAGGAACACCGGUGGCGAAGGCGGCAUCCUGGACCGAGAUUGACGCUGAGGCGCGAAAGCCAGGGGAGCAAACGGG